AACAUGGAUGAAGCUUUAUCUAAUGAGUUUAGCAUAAAGAGCGAACAGUCAUUACUACUAUUCAGUUGAGGAUACCUCUUCUUCACUGGGCCGGGCAGUAGUGGCGCCAUGGCAACAUGCUGAUGAACUGGGGGGGGGUGGGGGGUGGGGGGGGGGUGACUGGCACCUGUUGGGCCCACUGCCUUCCUCCAUUUCCAUUGCUCUUUCAUGCAACACACUCCUCUCAAAGUGCUUUACAAGGUGCGAAGAGCCUGAACCACAACAAUUGAAAUGUGAGCUGAACGUUCAGCUGCAGUCAUCAAUCAUCUUUCAAUCAAUCACUGUCACCCCCGCUGCUUCGCCACCCAGCCUACGGCACCUUGAGCACUAGAAAACGUGACUUUCAGUUACACUGUAUUUUGAUGGUCCCCCAGUUGACACUCUGCUGAAUGUAAGUAACUUUGCAACACGUCAAACACCAGUCAUUAGUAGACUACCUUCUUAAGUUAGCGUCAGCAAAGUGACAUCAUUUCCUGUUCUUGAUUAGAUGCUUUGUUGUUGUAUUUCAUUCAUUCGUAUUUCAGUUUCAUAAUCCUGUUUGACUUACUGUAUGUAA
rnacentral:lncRNA from 1 species